GAAAGUAAUUAAGGGCGUAUGGCGGAUGCCUAGGCUCACGGAGGCGAUGAAGGACGUGAUAAGCUGCGAUAAGCCUCGGGUAGAUGCAAAUAAUCUUUGAUCCGAGGAUUUCCGAAUGGGACAACCUGACUGUCUGAAGGAUAGUCACCCAUAUAUUUUUUAUGGGAGCAAACGCAGGGAACUGAAACAUCUUAGUACCUGUAGGAAAAGAAAAUAAUUUAAUGAUUCCCCUAGUAGUGGCGAGCGAACGGGGAAUAGCCCAAACCUAUGACGUAGUAAUGCGUGAUAGGGGUAGUAGGGUCACGAUAUCGUACUUUGAAAGUGAGGAGAAUGUUCUGGAAAGUUCAAUAAUAUAAGGUGAUAAUCCUGUAUCCGAAGCUUGAUGAGACGUAGUGAAUCCCUGAGUAGUGCGGAGCACGAGUAAUUCUGCAUGAAUCUGCCGGGACCAUCCGGUAAGGCUAAAUACUCCCGUGAGACCGAUAGUGAAUUAGUACCGUGAGGGAAAGGUGAAAAGCACUCCAAUGAGGAGAGUGAAAUAGUUCCUGAAACCAUACGCCUACAAGCGGUCGGAGCAUAUAUAUAUGUGACGGCGUGCCUUUUGCAUAAUGAACCUACGAGUUACCAUGUCCAGCGAGGUUAAGGGGUUCAGCCCCGUAUCCGUAGUGAAAGCGAGCCUAAAUAGGGCGUAUAGUUGGAUGGGGUAGACGCGAAACCAAGUGAUCUACACUUGACCAGGUUGAAGUUCUGGUAACACAGAAUGGAGGACCGCACGGAUAAGCGUUGAAAAGCUUCCCGAUGAGUUGAGUGUAGGAGUGAAAGGCCAAUCAAACUUGGAGAUAGCUCGUACUCCCCGAAAGGCAUUUAGGUGCCGCGUGCAUCGAUCUCCAUAAGAGGUAGAGCGACCGAUAGGUCAAGAGGGCUUCACCGCCUAUCGAGACCUGACGAACUCCGAAUGCUUACGCUUUGCAGUCGUGCAGUAAGGGGGCGGGUGCUAAGGUCCGUCCCCGAGAGGAGAAGAAUCCAGACCGCCGUCUAAGGUCCCGAAAUUCUGUCUAAGUUAGUCUAACGAAGUCUGGUCCCCGUGACAGCUAGGAUGUUGGCUUGGAAGCAGCCAUUCAUUCAAAGAGUGCGUAACAGCUCACUAGUCGAGGGUCCGGGCAUGGAUAAUAAUCGGGUAUAAGUCAGAUACCGAAGUCGCGGGAUAGCAUUGUAUAUAAAAAGUAUCGGUAGGGGAGCAUUCUAUAUGCGUUGAAUGGUGAUAUUGAUUGAUCCUGGAGCGUAUAGAAACGCAAAUGUAGGUAUAAGUAACGAUAAAGGGGGUAAGAUUCCCCCUCGCCGUAAGACUAAGGUUUCCCAGGCGAUGUCAAUCAGCCUGGGGUUAGUCGGGUCCUAAGUCUCAGCCGAAUGGCGAAGGCGAUGGCUUCACGGUUAAUAUUCCGUGACUUGCUCAUUCAGCGAUGUGGAGACGGAGCAGUGACACUGUCGCGCCCUUACGGAUAUGGGCGUUAAAGAAGUUAGGUGUAGAUAGAUGUAGGCAAAUCCGCAUUUAGAGCUGAUCUUCUAUAGUACAGAGUUUUCUUCGGAGAGCUUUGAUAGUACAGGUAAUCAUACUUCCAAGAAAAUCCGCUAAGCUUAAUGUUUGAGCAACCCGUACCGUAAUCGGACACACGUAGUCGGGUAGAACAUACUAAGGCGUUGAGAGAUUCAUGGUUAAGGAACUAGGCAAAUUGACCCCGUAACUUCGGGAUAAGGGGUCCUCAUAGCAAUAUGAGGCGCAGAGAAUAGGUCCAGGCAACUGUUUAACAAAAACACAGGGCUGUGCUAACUCGAAAGAUGAUGUAUACAGUCUGACACCUGCCCGGUGCUGGAAGGUUAAGAGGAGAGCUUAUUCUUCGGAAGAAGGUUUGAAUUGAAGCCCCAGUAAACGGCGGCCGUAACUAUAACGGUCCUAAGGUAGCGAAAUUCCUUGUCGGGU
rnacentral:rRNA from 1 species